rnacentral:rRNA from 1 species
UACGUAGGGUGCAAGCGUUGUCCGGAAUUAUUGGGCGUAAAGAGCUCGUAGGCGGUCUGUCGCGUCGGCUGUGAAAACCUGGGGCUUAACUCCGGGCCUGCAGCCGAUACGGGCAGACUAGAGUUCGGCAGGGGAGACUGGAAUUCCUGGUGUAGCGGUGAAAUGCGCAGAUAUCAGGAGGAACACCGGUGGCGAAGGCAGCUCUCUGGGACGGUACUGACGCUGAGACGCGAAAGCGUGGGGAGCGAACAGG